rnacentral:snRNA from 1 species
GGACAUGCAGGAGGCUGAGUGGAAUGUUCAUCUCACUACUGAUCACUGGAAUUGAUGGCAGCUGGUCUGGGAGGCUAAGUGGGAUCCCCUUCCUCAUAUCCCUCUCCGUGCAGUCCCUCCCUAAGCUUCCUGUCCUCGAAGAAUGAUAAGGUUUCUUUGGUCAAAGGGGUUGAAGAAACUGUGCUUCCCAUCUGGACCCUCCAAAGAGCCACUCAAGACCCACUUACAGGAGAACGAAGGGUGUUUCAGCUUCCAAGAUGCCAGACUCUUAAAUAAGGAAGGACACAUCUGCCUUUCUUU